UGCAAUUUUGAUUGGAUUAAAACAUGGAAUCCAGUUGAUCACCCAAGCAUAAGGAAAAGAAUCCUAAAAUGGGUUUUUGGAAAAAUUGAAAUCAGAGAUUCACCAGCUAAAAAUAAGUAAAACUAACUGAAUUUCUAGAGUUUAAAAAGGUAUACAGAAAAUUAAACAAUAUUUUUGUGAAUUCAAAUUCCUCAUGUUUGAAGUAACCUUGGAUUCAAGCAUGGCUUAAACUAAAAUUCCUUCAAUGCAAAAGAAAAGAAGAAGAAGAAGAAGAAGAAACUUUCUCUACAUUCUUCAUUUCAUUUUUCUGAUAUUUAGUUGUAGUAAACUGAAAUUCCUGCAGAUUUGUAGACUUGAUGCAAGGAUCAGGCAGAACCUUGCUGCCAUGCAGCAGUUGGAACAUGAGCUUAGGGCCAUGUCUUCCUUUGAUUAUAGGCAAGUUUUUAUCAACUCAAUUUUUCACUUUUUCAUUGGUUUGUCUGGAGAUUCAGUUUUUGAACCUUGUUUCUUUAUCUAUGCAGAGAAAUAAGGCGUGGGUUUUCAUUUAUCCCAACAAUAUAUGAGGAUUUUAAUCAAUUGUGCCUGAAUUUAGGCCUACAAGCACUUCAGCUUUUUUACGCCACUCGUGCUACGAGUAGACCAUAUAGAGGAUUUGUUUUUAUUUAUUUAUUGAAGACCAUUUUUAAUUUAUUGUAAUAAAUAUUAUAUUUUUUUAUUAUGAAGUAAUAUAAAAUUUAUUUAAUAUUCAGUUUUAA